GAAGUGAAUUAAAGUGAAUGCUGCUAACUUAUCACUAUAGCGGUUAAAGCCCGUUUACACUUCU
rnacentral:tRNA from 5 species